rnacentral:rRNA from 1 species
CCUACGGGUGGCUGCAGUGGGGAAUAUUGGACAAUGGGGGCAACCCUGAUCCAGCCAUGCCGCGUGUGUGAAGAAGGCCCUCGGGUUGUAAAGCACUUUCAGUGAGGAAGAACGCCUGGUGGUUAAUACCCAUCAGGAAAGACAUCACUCACAGAAGAAGCACCGGCUAACUCCGUGCCAGCAGCCGCGGUAAUACGGGGGGUGCGAGCGUUAAUCGGAAUUACUGGGCGUAAAGCGCGCGUAGGUGGCUUGAUAAGCCGGUUGUGAAAGCCCCGGGCUCAACCUGGGAACGGCAUCCGGAACUGUCAAGCUAGAGUGCAGGAGAGGAAGGUAGAAUUCCCGGUGUAGCGGUGAAAUGCGUAGAGAUCGGGAGGAAUACCAGUGGCGAAGGCGGCCUUCUGGACUGACACUGACACUGAGGUGCGAAAGCGUGGGUAGCAAACAGGAUUAGAUACCCUUGUAGUC